CCUGAACGCUGGCGGCGUGGCUAAGACAUGCAAGUCGCACGGGCCUCGCAAGAGGUCAGUGGCGAACGGGUGAGUAAAGAAUCGCUAACGUACCCCGGACUCUGGGAUAGCUACCCGAAAGGGUGGUAAUACCAGAUGAUAUAACUUUCCUGCAUGGGAGAGUUCUCAAAGGCCGCCGGCAACGGUGGAACGGUCUGGGAGCGGGCAAUUUCGUAUCAGCUAGUUGGUGAGGAACGGCUCACCAAGGCGACGACGCGUAGCCGGACUGAGAGGUUGGCCGG
rnacentral:rRNA from 1 species